rnacentral:lncRNA from 10 species
AAAAUGCCCAGACCAGCAUCCGAAAGCUGGUCUCCUAUACAAAGCAGAAUCCCUGCCUACAAAGCAGUUUCCCACCUCCGACUCCUCCCCACGGCGAACAGCCCUUCUGGAUCCAACCAACCCACCAACCCCAAUAGGGCCCAGCACCCAGAGGGUCCACAAUCCAGAGAAGGAGCUACAAGCCCUGUACUUGCAAGCCUCGAACCCCCAACUCCAACUGACCUCCCCUCUGCCAGAGCAAGACCACGAGUACCCGCCGAGAGCGGACCUGGCUGGCUACACAAAGCCAGGCGCCCGACCAGAGGGAUCCUCCGGGACGUCCUCCGCCACCGGGGCGUCCCCGCCCAGCCCCGCCCGGCGCCCGGCGCUCACCAGCUCUCCUCCCCCUCCUCCUAGCCUGACAGACGCUCCAGGUCGUCUAGCAAGCCGCCCUCCCCCGCCGCCAGCAAGAAGGUGGCGUCUCGCAGCUCCUCGUUAUUCGUCCGCCUCGGGUCCAUCCGGCCCCGCCGCCCGACUUUGCGCUGAGACCCAAGGGGAAGCCCCGAGGGGACCCCGCGCCGUAGGAGGGAGUGGAGGAGCCGGCGAACCGCGAUGGAGCCGGGGCCCAGCACAGCGCGAGCGGCUCCUCGGCUGUUCGUGCUGCUUCCCCAGCUUCUUCACCGGCACCUGCAGCUUCCGCACCUCCUGGUCCGCGUUCACGUUAGAGUUAACGUCCUCCAUCCCGGCCCCGCUGCCUCCGCCGCCCGCGGCCCUCUCGCUCUCGCAGCAACAAGGGAAGAGCCGGAGGAAAGAGGCGUCCACGCCGCUCACUCCAGCCGAGGCCCCCGCAUAUAGCAGGGCCAGGCCCCGUCGCCAGGGUUCCCCCAGCGCGGGUCCCGAAGCACCGCUGGCCACAGAUGAACCGCCUCCUCAGCGCAGGUCCGGGAUUCGGGGAGGCAGCGCCAAUAUCCGGUCUCUGCAGCCAUCUUCCCUCCGUCCCUCCGCCCACCGAGGGUCGGCCCUGUAGGUGACCUCAGAGCGUCGGGGAUGGGCGUGGCCCCGUCGGGCGCUAAGAAGACCUAGCGCAGAGAGGACCGCCGAGCUCCCGACGGGGCGGGGCCAGGUGUGUGAGGGGCGGGGAUUGGACCCGGAGGGGCGUGUCUGGACUGCCGGCGGAAGUGGAACGCGGCCUGACCUGCGACGGAAAGCCACUGCAAGCCCGGAGGCGAACAGAAGGCAUUCCGCGAGCCGGGCUGAGUUGGUGAACACGGUCCUCGUUCACCCCGCCUAUUGGUCUGGGCGUGUGGGGUAUUCUCCACCCACUUAUACGGCGUGUGGGACCGACGGGCCCGUCCUGCCCGGCUCCGGUCCGGAUCUCGAGUAGGCGCUCAAUGGGAUUCGGGGAGACGUAGUUUACUUUGUUCAGCAAAUAUUUAACCGAUGCCUAUUUUAAUGGGAGAUUGUUUCCGCUGGCGGGAGCCUCAGAGACCGCCUGUGUCCUUUAAGAAACCCGAAUUUCAGACAGUUAAGAGAGGUCUAAGGUCAAAAUAAUAAUCAUAAUUUCUUCUUACUGGCCAGAUACUAUGCUAAGCCCUUUUUAAUUUUAUUAUUAUUAUAUUUUGUCACCGAGGCUGGAGUGCAAUGGCCCGAUCUUGGCUCUGCAACCUCCGCCUCCCGGUUUAAAGCGAUUCUCCUGCCUCAGCCUCCCGAGUAACUGGGAUUACAGGCGGGCGCCACCACGCCUCGCUGAUUUUUGUAUUUUAGUAGAGACGGGGUUUCGCCAUUUUGGCCAGGCUGGUCUCGACCCUGACCUCAGGGUGAUCCGCUCACCUCAGCCACUCAAAAGUGCUGGGAUUACUGGCGUCAGCCACCGCGCGCCCGGUCGUGCUAAUCACUUUGAAAGGCAUUAUCUCAUCGGUUAAAACAUAGUUUUCCGGACUUAAAAGUUUACAGCACACUGGCGCAGAAGAUGGAAAACCGCUGCUUGCCUUUCUCCGUUUAUUGACUCACAUUCUGCUCUUUGGAUCAUUUUCUUCGGAAAAAGUUUUCCAAAGUGUGUCUUGUGUAUUAAAAGUUGUGUAUUAAAAGUAUUUGAACACGCUGAC